UAUGAGAGUUUGAUCCUGGCUCAGGACGAACGCUGGCGGCGUGCCUAAUACAUGCAAGUCGAACGCUUCUUUUUCCACCGGAGCUUGCUCCACCGGAAAAAGAGGAGUGGCGAACGGGUGAGUAACACGUGGGUAACCUGCCCAUCAGAAGGGGAUAACACUUGGAAACAGGUGCUAAUACCGUAUAACAAUCGAAACCGCAUGGUUUUGAUUUGAAAGGCGCUUUCGGGUGUCGCUGAUGGAUGGACCCGCGGUGCAUUAGCUAGUUGGUGAGGUAACGGCUCACCAAGGCCACGAUGCAUAGCCGACCUGAGAGGGUGAUCGGCCACAUUGGGACUGAGACACGGCCCAAACUCCUACGGGAGGCAGCAGUAGGGAAUCUUCGGCAAUGGACGAAAGUCUGACCGAGCAACGCCGCGUGAGUGAAGAAGGUUUUCGGAUCGUAAAACUCUGUUGUUAGAGAAGAACAAGGAUGAGAGUAACUGUUCAUCCCUUGACGGUAUCUAACCAGAAAGCCACGGCUAACUACGUGCCAGCAGCCGCGGUAAUACGUAGGUGGCAAGCGUUGUCCGGAUUUAUUGGGCGUAAAGCGAGCGCAGGCGGUUGUAGUUCUUUCAGAUAGUCGAAUGACUUGGAAAAGUCAGUCAAAGAGGAAACUGGGAGACUUGAGUGCAGAAGAGGAGAGUGGAAUUCCAUGUGUAGCGGUGAAAUGCGUAGAUAUAUGGAGGAACACCAGUGGCGAAGGCGGCUCUCUGGUCUGUAACUGACGCUGAGGCUCGAAAGCGUGGGGAGCAAACAGGAUUAGAUACCCUGGUAGUCCACGCCGUAAACGAUGAGUGCUAAGUGUUGGAGGGUUUCCGCCCUUCAGUGCUGCAGCUAACGCAUUAAGCACUCCGCCUGGGGAGUACGACCGCAAGGUUGAAACUCAAAGGAAUUGACGGGGGCCCGCACAAGCGGUGGAGCAUGUGGUUUAAUUCGAAGCAACGCGAAGAACCUUACCAGGUCUUGACAUCCUUUGACCACUCUAGAGAUAGAGCUUCCCCUUCGGGGGCAAAGUGACAGGUGGUGCAUGGUUGUCGUCAGCUCGUGUCGUGAGAUGUUGGGUUAAGUCCCGCAACGAGCGCAACCCUUAUUGUUAGUUGCCAUCAUUCAGUUGGGCACUCUAGCAAGACUGCCGGUGACAAACCGGAGGAAGGUGGGGAUGACGUCAAAUCAUCAUGCCCCUUAUGACCUGGGCUACACACGUGCUACAAUGGGAAGUACAACGAGUUGCGAAGUCGCGAGGCUAAGCUAAUCUCUUAAAGCUUCUCUCAGUUCGGAUUGCAGGCUGCAACUCGCCUGCAUGAAGCCGGAAUCGCUAGUAAUCGCGGAUCAGCACGCCGCGGUGAAUACGUUCCCGGGCCUUGUACACACCGCCCGUCACACCACGAGAGUUUGUAACACCCGAAGUCGGUGAGGUAACCUUUUGGAGCCAGCCGCCUAAGGUGGGAUAGAUGAUUGGGGUGAAGUCGUAACAAGGUAGCCGUAUCGGAAGGUGCGGCUGGAUCACCUCCUUU
rnacentral:rRNA from 1 species